rnacentral:ncRNA from 1 species
GCCUGUGUAAAUGAACUUUUACAUUAUUUAUACUUUAUUUUUUUCUUAUAUUUAUUAUUUUAUACUUUAUUUUUUUCUUCUUAUUUUUUUCUUGGUCUGUGUAAAUGAUCAAAUUUCGACCUUCAAUCAUGCGUCAAAAUCAUUUCACUGCAGUAUAUAUUGCUAAAAGUUUUCAUUUGUAUGUGGAGCAGAGCUUCGUCCCUCUGGGGAUAAGCACUUUUAGUAUGGUGACUCUGUAUAACUUUGUACAGAUCACAUGUGUUCAUACUAGGAACAUGUCUUUCAAGUGUCUGGCUUAUCAACUGUCGAUGGUAGGUUAUGUGCUUACAAUAGUCGCAGUGGGUGAUUGAUUGGGAAUCAGGGUUCGUUUCUGGAAAAGGAGUCUAAGAAACAUCUACCACAUCCAAGAGAGGCAGCAAAUGCGCAAAUUACCUACUCUUAGAAGGGGAGGUAGUGAUGAAAAAUAACAAUAUGGGAUUCUUUUGAGAUCCCAUAACUGGAUCCCUUAACAUAACACUCCAAAUCUUUUAAUGAGGAUCAACCAGAGGGCAAGUUUGAUGCCAGCAGCCACGUUAAUUCCAGCUUCAAUAGC